rnacentral:rRNA from 1 species
CCUACGGGAGGCAGCAGUGGGGAAUAUUGCACAAUGGGCGAAAGCCUGAUGCAGCAACGCCGCGUGAGCGAUGAAGGCCCUCGGGUUGUUAAGCUCUGUUUUCAAGGAAGUUAACGACGGUACUUGAGGUGGAAGUCCAGGCUAAUUACUGGCCAGCAGCCGCGGUAAUACGUAGGCGGCCAGGGUUAUACGGAAUUACCGGGCGUAAGGGGUGCGUAGGUGGUUUCUUAAGUAAGAGGUGAAAGGCUAGGGCUCAACCGUAGUAAGCCUUUGAAACUGGGGAACUUGAGUGCAGGAGAGGAGAGUGGAAUUCCUAGUGUAGCGAUGAAAUGCAUAGAUAUUAGGAAGAACACCAAUUGCGAAGGCAGCUCUCUAGUCUAUAACUGACACUGAGGCACGAAAGCGUGGGGAGCAAACAGGAUUAGAUACCCCUGUAGUC